UACGAAGGGGGCUAGCGUUGUUCGGAAUUACUGGGCGUAAAGGGCGCGUAGGCGGGUCGUUAAGUUGGGGGGUGAAAGCCCAGGGCUCAACCCUGGAAUUGCCUUCAAUACUGGCGACCUUGAGUAUGGCAGAGGUGUGUGGAACUCCGAGUGUAGAGGUGAAAUUCGUAGAUAUUCGGAAGAACACCAGUGGCGAAGGCGACAUACUGGCCCAUUACUGACGCUGAGGCUCGAAAGCGUGGGGAGCAAACAGG
rnacentral:rRNA from 1 species